rnacentral:tRNA from 1 species
GCUGGUUUAGCUCAGUAGGUAGAGCACCUACCUUGUAAGCAGGAUGUCGGCGGUUCGAUUCCGUCAAUCGCACCA